rnacentral:lncRNA from 1 species
AUGGCUUCUGUGCUGGUGGUCACUAAUGAAACUCUCUGCUCUCUGAAAAUGCAAAGUUCCCGGCAGCCUGGAUGUGUAGGUACUCCCAGGGAACCCAGUUGCUGCAGUGCUCACUUAUUUCCCUAAAUUUAGAUUCUUACUUAAUUCCUGAGAGCCUCUUCCAUUCAUUUUAAAAGAGCUUUUAAUAUUUUAUCUAACUGUUUUCUCCAUCUCGAAAUAAUAAUAAUA